ensembl:lncRNA
AUGUGGUGUCAUCUCUGGCAGGCAAGAAUACAGGAGUUGUCAUUUCCUACUCCAGGAGAUCUUUCUGACCUAGGAACUGAACCCACAUCUCUUGAGUCUCCUGCAUUGACAGGUGGAUUCUUUACCACUAGCACCACCUGGGAAGUUAACUGAGGAUUUGAGGAAAACCUUCCUGCACUAUGACUUCAGAUGUGAUUCAUGAUCUCCGAAGAAGAUUUAGCUUCAGGAUAGGGGACCAGGCUUGAUCACUCAGAGCUUUUGUGUGGCAGAAGUUUUAUUACAGUGAAAAAGGACAGAGAACGCUUCUGACAUAGACAUCAGAAGGGAGAGGAAGAGUACCCCACUUGCCAGUCUUAGCAAGGGAGCCAUGUACUUUUUCAAUUGGUUAUUAACGAUAAAUCAGAAGAAUGUCUCAAGGUUGUCAAGGUCUUAGGAGACCUACUCCCACAAUUUACAUUUUAAGAUAACAGAAUUAGAAAUAAAAAUAGAAAGCUCUUACCAGACCACUCCCAUAAUAUAUAUUUUAAGGCUGCAGGCUUAGUCAAGAGGUUCUUAAGAAGGAGAAACAUGUCCUCAAGCAGAAUACAUUGUUGUUAUA